CGGGUGAGUACCACGUGGGGUUAUCUACCGUGAGGUGAGGAAUACCGGCGAGAAAUCGCCGACAAGACCGCAUAGCCUCGGUGCAAAUCGAGGAAAGUUUCCGCAAGGAGACGCCACACGAGGAGCCUGCGCCCGAUUAGCUAGCUAGUGGAGUAACGGUUCACCAGGGCGACGAUCGGUAGCUGGUCUGAGAGGACGAUCAGCCACACUGGGAUUGAGAACGGCCCAG
rnacentral:rRNA from 1 species